GGCCUGAUGGUCUAGUAGUAUGAUUCCUUGUUAGGGAUAUCAACCAUUUGAGGAGGUCCCAGGUUCAAUUCCUGGUCAGGCCC
rnacentral:tRNA from 1 species